rnacentral:rRNA from 1 species
AUUGAACGCUGGCGGCAGGCCUAACACAUGCAAGUCGAGCGGAUGAAGGGAGCUUGCUCCUGGAUUCAGCGGCGGACGGGUGAGUAAUGCCUAGGAAUCUGCCUGGUAGUGGGGGAUAACGUCCGGAAACGGGCGCUAAUACCGCAUACGUCCUGAGGGAGAAAGUGGGGGAUCUUCGGACCUCACGCUAUCAGAUGAGCCUAGGUCGGAUUAGCUAGUUGGUGGGGUAAAGGCCUACCAAGGCGACGAUCCGUAACUGGUCUGAGAGGAUGAUCAGUCACACUGGAACUGAGACACGGUCCAGACUCCUACGGGAGGCAGCAGUGGGGAAUAUUGGGCAAUGGGCGAAAGCCUGAUCCAGCCAUGCCGCGUGUGUGAAGAAGGUCUUCGGAUUGUAAAGCACUUUAAGUUGGGAGGAAGGGCAGUAGGUUAAUACCUUGCUGUUUUGACGUUACCAACAGAAUAAGCACCGGCUAACUUCGUG